UACGAAGGGGGCUAGCGUUGCUCGGAAUUACUGGGCGUAAAGCGCACGUAGGCGGAUUGUUAAGUCGGGGGUGAAAUCCUGGAGCUCAACUCCAGAACUGCCUUUGAUACUGGCGAUCUUGAGUCCGGGAGAGGUGAGUGGAACUGCGAGUGUAGAGGUGAAAUUCGUAGAUAUUCGCAAGAACACCAGUGGCGAAGGCGGCUCACUGGCCCGGUACUGACGCUGGGGUGCGAAAGCGUGGGGAGCAAACAGG
rnacentral:rRNA from 1 species